UGCCCAAUUUGGUCUUGAGGCCACACUCAUGAACAAAGGUUAGUAGCAUUAUAUUUGUAGACUUGCCUGUUUCCACGGGCUUCACUUAUGCCACAACGGAGUUUGCUACUCAACGAAGGACUGGAUACUAGUUCACCAAGUCCAUCAAUUUCUUAGGAAGUGGUUGAUUGAACAUCCAAAUUUUUUUAUCAACUGAUGUUUACAUUGGUGGCGAUUUAUACUCUGGCAUUACUAUUCCAGCAAUUGUUCAAGAAAUUUCUCUAGGUAAAAGACUCGUAUGUGAUUCAACAUGUACUGCAAAAUUAGAAUGACAAACAUAUGUACAAGUUGGCUAGUAACUAUAUGAACCACUAUUAAUCAUGCUAAUUGGCAAUGGAGGCUUGUACCUGGUAACUAUUUUGUUCCACAAAUUUAUUUGUGCUUA